UACAGAGGUCUCGAGCGUUAGGCGGAAUCACUGGGCUUAAAGCGUGUGUAGGUGGAUGCCUAAGUACCUUGUGAAAUCCCACAGCUUAACUGUGGAACUGCUUGGUAUACUGGGUGUCUUGAGUCACUCAGGGGCGAGCGGAACAAAUGGUGGAGCGGUGAAAUGCGUAGAUAUCAGGAGGAACACCGGUGGCGAAGGCGGGUCUCUGGGCCGAUACUGACACUGAGGAGCGAAAGCGUGGGGAGCGAACAGG
rnacentral:rRNA from 1 species